UGGGGAAUAUUGCGCAAUGGGGGAAACCCUGACGCAGCGACGCCGCGUGAGCGAAGAAGGCCUUAGGGUUGUAAAGCUCUGUUUUAGGGGACGAAUGUUACGGGGAGUAAUAUGCCCUGUAAAUGACGGUACCCUAAGAGGAAGCCCCGGCUAACUACGUGCCAGCAGCCGCGGUAAGACGUAGGGGGCGAGCGUUGUCCGGAAUUACUGGGCGUAAAGAGCACGUAGGCGGGAACUUAAGUCAGGUGUGAAAGACCGAGGCUCAACCUCGGGUAUGCACUUGAAACUGGGUUUCUUGAGGGCAGGAGAGGAAAGCAGAAUUCCUGGUGUAGCGGUGAAAUGCGUAGAAAUCAGGAGGAAUACCAGUGGCGAAGGCGGCUUUCUGGACUGACCCUGACGCUGAGGUGCGAAAGCGUGGGUAGCAAACAG
rnacentral:rRNA from 1 species